ACUGUCACAUCACUGAGAAAACAACCGGUUCCCGCACGACCACCGACGUUAAGCAACGUUGAGUCUGGCCACUACCUAGAUGGGUGACCACUUGGGAAUACCAGGUGCUGCAAG